AACAACAGCAGCAUACACGGUUAAAACAUAUUAAUAAUAACGUUACAGAAGACGUCCAUGUACUUGUGACACCAAGACCUCACGGACGACUCUACAUCUGGAAAACUGUCUCAGUUGCAUUAUGGAGGAGAGACAGGCAUCUUCUCAUGCCCAAGAUUAUCCGACUCACCCGCUGGUCCCCUCCCUCUCGGCGGGGAUCGAGCUUCUUGGUGAAGUGCCUCAGGUUGUCAUAGUUGUGGAAGUUGAACAAGGACACCAGAUCCUACAGCCGGAGAGAAAGCCAC